rnacentral:rRNA from 1 species
GAUGAACGCUGGCGGCGUGCUUAACACAUGCAAGUCGAACGGAAAGGCCCAAGCUUGCUUGGGUACUCGAGUGGCGAACGGGUGAGUAACACGUGGGUGAUCUGCCCUGCACUUCGGGAUAAGCCUGGGAAACUGGGUCUAAUACCGGAUAGGACCACUUCUUGGAUGUUGUGGUGGAAAGUUUUUUCGGUGUGGGAUGAGCUCGCGGCCUAUCAGCUUGUUGGUGGGGUAAUGGCCUACCAAGGCGUCGACGGGUAGCCGGCCUGAGAGGGUGUACGGCGACAUUGGGACUGAGAUACGGCCCAGACUCCUACGGGAGGCAGCAGUGGGGAAGAUUGCACAAUGGGCGCAGGCCGGAUGCAGCGGCGCCGCGUGGGGGAUGACGGCCUUCGUGUUGUAGACUCCUUUCGCUAGGGACGAAGCGUUUUGUGACGGUACCUGGAGAAGAAGCACCGGCUAACUACGUG